AUUGAACGCUGGCGGCGUGCUUUACACAUGCAAGUCGGACGAGUGGCGGACGGGUGAGUAACUCAUCGGAACGUACCGAGUAAUGGGGGAUAACUGCUCGAAAGGGCAGCUAAUACCGCAUACUAUUCGAGCGGCCGAUGUCUGAUUAGCUGGUUGGCGGGGUAAAGGCCCACAAAGGCGACGAGCAGUAGCGGGUUUGAGAGGAUGAACCGCCACACUGGGACUGAGCAAAGGCCCAGACUCCGACGUGAGGCAGCAGUGGGGAAUUUUGGACAAUGGGCGCAAUCCUGAUCCAGACAUGCCGCGUGUAUGAAGAAGGCCUUCGGGUUGUAAAGGACUUUUGUCAGGGAAGCGGGACCUGCAGAAUAAGCACCGGCUAACUACGUGCCAGCAGCCGCGGUAAUUC
rnacentral:rRNA from 1 species